UUCAAUUGUGGCAGUGGUUGGAAGUUGGGUAGCUGGGUUGGAUGAGGGUGGAACAGAGGUUUGAACUCUGGGGACUGACACCACCUGCAAACACAUCUGCCUGACUGAAGAGAUCAGCUGGGUCAUGGCUGAAUUCCUUGAAAACUUCCAGAAGAGAAAGGUGGAUGAAUUCCCGCAGGACAGGAAGGCCGGGACAACCUCUGCUUCCCAACAGGAGGGCGCAAAGGAAAUGCUCCAUUCGUCGGGGUUCAUUCCCCAUCCGGGGGCGAUGGUAAAUGAUGGGACCAGGCAAGCCCGGCCAUGUGUGAUGGGAGGAGGAGAACUGAAAGGUGUCUUGUAUGGGCCCUGGAGGGGAGAAGAUUAUUUAAACCUGACGUGUCCCCUCUGGUCCUUCUAAUGUUGCCAACCCCGCAAGGCUGUGGAUGCUUUCCCACCUUCGCUCGCUGCUCCAUCUGCCAGGAACUGCGGAUCCCACCCUCCACCGAGCCAACCCCCCGGCCCUCCUUGGAUGGGGGAAGAGGAAGCCGCCCACACCACCCCGAGAAUCCCCCCAUUGUCUUCCUCGCUCCUGGGAAGCCCCUGUGACACAGCCAGGGCUGCGACCGAGCCUCAGCAGGGAGGGGAGGAAUCCCGGACAGGAUGCAAGGAGCGGCAAGGACCCGCAGCGCGGGGUUGGCUUGGCAGCCCCGUUCAGACAA